AUAGUUCUGCCCAUCAUUCCUAUCCUCAUCAUCAUCUUCACUGCAGAGGCACAGGACUUUUAAAUCUCCAGUUCCAGGACACAUGGACAGGAACGAGCAUCAUCUGUCUACACCCAAACUCCAGCUCUGACAGUGGUGUAAACAUCUGAGAGGCUGAUUUCAGCUGCUGACCGUUUUCCACUCAGGUCCUCGCAGGACAAUAAAAACCAAACGGCUGCGGGCUGGACGGGCGAGGCUCGACUCUGUGAACCGUCCACAGCUGGGACUGUUCCUCCGCUUCCACACACACUGAUUUAAGAGCUCUCAACAAUUCUCUGUGGCCACUUAGCAGCCAACAGCUGGGACAGCUCCACACUGAGGGUCAGGCCAGCCGGCCUCUGGGACGGACCACGACGAGUCCUGCUACCACAGCCGGCCUCUGGGGCGGACCACGACGAGUCCAGCUACCACAGCCGGCCUCUGGGGCGGACCACGGCGAGUCCUGCUACCACAGCCGGCCUCUGGGACGGACCACGACGAGUCCAGCUACCACAGCCGGCCUCUGGGACGGACCACGACGAGUCCUGCUACCACAGCCGGCCUCUGGGACGGACCACGACGAGUCCAGCUCUGUAAAAACAUCUACGAACACGAUGAGAUGUGGUUUUAUCUCAUGUAUUUCCCCAGUUCUGUGUCUUUGAUACCUCAGGAAAAAACCUUUGCUGUACAGCAUACUCUGUGACACCUCAGGUGCCGUCUUCGCCGGUCUGUCUCUGACUCCUCCCUCUCAUUGUGCAAGUCGUGAAGGACCACAAACUUCGACUGUUUGGGGUUCAGCACAGUCUGAGUUUUAGAGAUAGAGAUGUUUCUGCUUUUAGUCAACCAGAGGACGAAGAAGCUGCAGAAUAAAGUAAAUCUGUCUUUUCCAUGUGGACAGUUAAUGUCACAGCAGGCUUCACUGUAAACCCUCUGACUUCUGUCUCCUGCUCACAGAGGUAAUGCAGUUCAAACUGCUUUAAACUGGUCCAGCUUCAUGUGGCCGGACUGCGAGAGACACAGACGGAUAAUACUUCUCAUACACAGACAAUAAAUUCCUCACAACUGUUCUCCAGCUUCUGGCCGGAGACGCAGAUUGAACAGUUUUUUCUUUGCCAGUCCAAAGAAAUCUCAGUCUGAGUCCCACAGGACAGAAAACUGAACAUCACAAAGAUACAGUCCCCGAGCCAGAGCAGAAAAUCCCAGUCUAAUCUUCACAGCCAGGGGUGAAAGGUUUUAGAAGAUUUUCAGUAUGAGCCUGGCAGAGAGCUUUGGCUGAUAAAGCCCCCAAACCAAAUCCACUGGUCCCCGAAUUCCUCACCAAACACGAGUGGGCUGGUAAACUGUCAGUUCAUGUUAAAAAGAGAAACAGAUCAUACACUACGCUGCAUAUCCAGCCCAAACCGUACUGCAGGUUCCAUCCGUCUGAUCUUUGGAAGAGUUGUGACAAAGAUGAGUUUGACACUUUACAGAUGGAAAAUAAACUUGUGCUGAUUUAUAAGAAGCGUUUUUUUUAAGUUUAAUUACUUUAUGACAUUUGUAUUGGAGCUAAAAAGAAAAACUAUAAACGCAGGAUAUGAAUAAACCAAAGAUUUUUCUGGCUUUUUACAGGACACACUGACUGUUACUCAUCCCCAUACACACUCACUGAGGCCGAUUUGGCCUCUUGUCGACAGCACUUCAGUAUUUACACCUCCCUCCACUGACCUCUUUAGCCACUAGUUUCAGUUUCUAUCCUCUCCCAAAUCCUCAUCAGCUCCCAGUAAAUCUCCCCUCUCCCAUCCCCCAUCACUGUCUGCACUUCUGCGUUUACUUCCCUGUUUCUGUGGUUCAUUUGUGUAUUUGGGAGCUGCUUCGCACAGAAACACCUGAUGUUUUUUUUCAAUCA